rnacentral:rRNA from 1 species
UACGAAGGGGGCGAGCGUUGUUCGGAUUUACUGGGCGUAAAGGGCGCGUAGGCGGCCUUGUCAGUCAGGCGUGAAAGCCCCGGGCUCAACCUGGGAACGGCGCUUGGGACGGCGAGGCUGGAGUUCGGGAGAGGAGAGUGGAAUUCCCAGUGUAGAGGUGAAAUUCGUAGAUAUCGGGAGGAACACCGGAGGCGAAGGCGGCCAGCUGGCGCUGACCUGACGCUGAGGCGCGAAGGCUUGGGGAGCGAACGGG